rnacentral:rRNA from 1 species
UACGAAGGGGGCUAGCGUUGCUCGGAAUUACUGGGCGUAAAGCGCACGUAGGCGGUCUUUUAAGUCGGGGGUGAAAUCCUGGAGCUCAACUCCAGAACUGCCUUCGAUACUGGAAGACUUGAGUCCGGGAGAGGUGAGUGGAACUGCGAGUGUAGAGGUGAAAUUCGUAGAUAUUCGCAAGAACACCAGUGGCGAAGGCGGCUCACUGGCCCGGUACUGACGCUGAGGUGCGAAGGCGUGGGGAGCGAACGGG